AUUGAACGCUAGCGGGAUGCCUAACACAUGCAAGUCGAACGGAGCGGCGAACGGGUGAGUAAUGCAUCGGAAUCUGCCCAGUAGUGGGGGACAACUACGCGAAAGGGUAGCUAAUACCGCAUACUAUUGGAGCGGCCGAUUUCGGAUUAGCUAGUUGGUGGGGUAACGGCUCACCUAGGCGACGAUCCGUAGCUGGUCUGAGAGGACGACCAGCCACAAUGGAACUGAGACACGGCCCAGACUCCUACGGGAGGCAGCAGUGGGGAAUUUUGGACAAUGGGGGAAACCCUGAUGCAGCCAUCCCGCGUGUGUGAAGAAGGCCUUCGGGUUGUAAAGCACUUUCAGCAGGAAAGCGGUACCCGCAGAAUAAGCACCGGCUAACUACGUGCCAGCAGCCGCGGUAAUUC
rnacentral:rRNA from 1 species